GAGGCCCGCUACGGAGACAUAGGGAUCCAACAAACCAACAGUCGUGUUUUUUUUUUCGGAAACUUACCCGAGCAUUUAUGCCUCAGUCAUGCACUACCGUCCCGUUGAAUCCCCGCCAACCGUCCUGUUUAGCAUUUCCCAGCCCUGCGUUCCGUUUCACAAGUUUUCUUUUCCACCUGUGCAUUUGAGCUUCCAUCGGCCACCGGUUAUCAUUUUUGUUGAUAAUUCUGGUGCAUAUAUUAUUUUGGGUAUUUUGCCAUUUGCAAGAAAAUUACUACGACGUGGGACUCAGCCAUUGCAUUUUGGGAUCUAUAUGUGUGAAACACAUUGCCUUCACUUUUACUUGCACCCCUGUCGUGCUUAUCUCCUGCAUGAACUGGCAAGCAUAUGAUAGAAAGCGGUUUUGUCAAAAUUUUGCAAUAUAAUAAAUUACCAAUGUGAACGGAUUCUACCUUCUUGAGCUAGCAAGUGGUUUUGUCAAAAUCAUGUACAUGUCCAUUUUUAAGUCAUACAUGAUAAACCAGCUAGGUGGGCCCCCGUAUCCACCCCCGGCCCAUCUGUCUGCACCCACCUUGUACCAGAAGAAUGGUUGGGCACUUGUAUAAAAGAAGGA